ACUUUGGCUUGCCUUAUGAGUACUGUAAAGUUACUAAGGCGGUGUAUUCAUGCUUCAUAUGUAAAUCUUUUAAAACCUUCAAAAGAAAUUGCUCCAAUUAUUUAUAAAGAAGUGGAUCCUACUGUAUGCGCAGGUGCAAAUAUAUAUAUAACAGGAGAAGAUCCUAAGUUAAAGCCAAACGAUGAAUAUCCUGAGUGGCUUUGGUCUAUAUUGGAACCUAUAACGUAUACUACCAAUGACAGGAAAUAUUGGAAGUUACUAAGAAAAAAGGAAAUAAUCCGCAAAAAUUCAUUACUCAAAAAGAAAUAAAUAUUG